rnacentral:rRNA from 1 species
UAGGAAUCUGCCUAUUAGUGGGGGACAACAUUUCGAAAGGAAUGCUAAUACCGCAUACGUCCUACGGGAGAAAGCAGGGGAUCUUCGGACCUUGCGCUAAUAGAUGAGCCUAAGUCGGAUUAGCUAGUUGGUGGGGUAAAGGCCUACCAAGGCGACGAUCUGUAGCGGGUCUGAGAGGAUGAUCCGCCACACUGGGACUGAGACACGGCCCAGACUCCUACGGGAGGCAGCAGUGGGGAAUAUUGGACAAUGGGCGGAAGCCUGAUCCAGCCAUGCCGCGUGUGUGAAGAAGGCCUUAUGGUUGUAAAGCACUUUAAGCGAGGAGGAGGCUACUUUAGUUAAUACCUAGAGAUAGUGGACGUUACUCGCAGAAUAAGCACCGGCUAACUCUGUGCCAGCAGCCGCGGUAAUACAGAGGGUGCAAGCGUUAAUCGGAUUUACUGGGCGUAAAGCGCGCGUAGGCGGCUAAUUAAGUCAAAUGUGAAAUCCCCGAGCUUAACUUGGGAAUUGCAUUCGAUACUGGUUAGCUAGAGUGUGGGAGAGGAUGGUAGAAUUCCAGGUGUAGCGGUGAAAUGCGUAGAGAUCUGGAGGAAUACCGAUGGCGAAAGGCAGCCAUCUGGGCCUAACACUGACGCUGAGGUGCGAAAGCAUGGGGAGCAAACAGGAUUAGAUACCC